rnacentral:ncRNA from 11 species
UCUUUAUCAACCGAAACUGGUUACACUUAGCUGUGUCUUAAAAGGGAAUCGUGUGCAAAUCACGAACUGUCGCGCAACUGUAAGUAACAUCAAGGUUUUUAUCAAAAAAGGUCCACUGUAUACCUCGUUAUAUGGGAAGGACGAUAAAAACUGUUACAAGUCAGGAGACCUGCCUAUUUCGAAUUGACGAUG